AUUGAACGCUAGCGGGAUGCUUUACACAUGCAAGUCGAACGAGUGGCGGACGGGUGAGUAAUAUAUCGGAACGUGCCAAGUAGCGGGGGAUAACUACUCGAAAGAGCGGCUAAUACCGCAUAUUAUUUGAUAGGCCGCGAUCUGAGUAGCUAGUUGGUGGGGUAAAGGCUCACCAAGGCAACGCUCCGUAGCGGGUUUGAGAGGACGACCAGCCACACUGGGACUGAGACACGGCCCAGACUCCUACGGGAGGCAGAAGUGGGGAAUUUUGGACAAUGGGGGAAACCCGGAUCCAGCCAUCCCGCGUGUAUGAGAAGGCCUUCGGGUUGGAAAGUACUUUUGGCAGAGAAGCGGUAUCUGCAGAAUAAGCACCGGCUAACUACGUGCCAGCAGCCGCGGUAAUAC
rnacentral:rRNA from 1 species